AUUGAACGCUGGCGGCAGGCCUAACACAUGCAAGUCGAACGGUAACAGGAAGCAGCUUGCUGCUUCGCUGACGAGUGGCGGACGGGUGAGUAAUGUCUGGGAAACUGCCUGAUGGAGGGGGAUAACUACUGGAAACGGUAGCUAAUACCGCAUAACGUCGCAAGACCAAAGAGGGGGACCUUAGGGCCUCUUGCCAUCGGAUGUGCCCAGAUGGGAUUAGCUAGUAGGUGGGGUAACGGCUCACCUAGGCGACGAUCCCUAGCUGGUCUGAGAGGAUGACCAGCCACACUGGAACUGGGACACGGUCCAGACUCCUACGGGAGGCAGCAGUGGGGAAUAUUGCACAAUGGGCGCAAGCCUGAUGCAGCCAUGCCGCGUGUAUGAAGAAGGCCUUCGGGUUGUAAAGUACUUUCAGCGGGGAGGAAGGGAGUAAAGUUAAUACCUUUGCUCAUUGACGUUACCCGCAGAAGAAGCACCGGCUAACUCCGUG
rnacentral:rRNA from 1 species